rnacentral:rRNA from 1 species
AGAGGGUGCGAGCGUUAAUCGGAAUGACUGGGCGUAAAGGGCGCGUAGGUUGUUAUAUAAGAGAGAUGUAAAAGUCCCGGGCUUAACCUGGGAAGGCCAUCUGAGACUGUAUAACUAGAGGACAGUAGAGGUAAGGGGAAUUUCCGGUGUAGCGGUGAAAUGCAUAGAGAUCGGAAGGAACACCAGAGGCGAAGGCGCCUUACUGGACUGUAUCUGACACUGAGGCGCGAAAGCGUGGGUAGCGAACAGGGAUUAGAUACCCUGGUAGUCCACGCUGUAAACGAUGAGAACUAGCCCGUUGAGAUCCUUGAGAUAUCAGUGGCGCAGCUAACGCAUUAAGUUCUCCGCCUGGGGAGUACGGCCGCAAGGCUA